rnacentral:rRNA from 1 species
GGACUACAAGGGUAUCUAAUCCUGUUCGCUCCCCACGCUUUCGCUCCUCAGCGUCAGAACAGGCCCAGAGAACCGCCUUCGCCACCGGUGUUCCUCCCGAUAUCUGCGCAUUUCACCGCUACACCGGGAAUUCCGUUCUCCCCUACCUGCCUCAAGUCUGCCCGUAUCCACCGCAGACCCACAGUUAAGCCAUGGGCUUUCACGACAGACGCAACAAACCACCUACGAGCUCUUUACGCCCAAUAAUUCCGGACAACGCUUGCGCCCUACGUAUUACCGCGGCUGCUGGCAC